rnacentral:lncRNA from 1 species
GAUAUUCUCUUAAAGAUCCGAAAGCCUGGAGCAAAGGGCCUGCACGCGUGGUAGGCAAGACUCCCUUGCAGCUGACUCACCUUAGACCUGAGCACCCUCUUGGACGCAGGCUCCACCUGGCCCAUUUGCUGCUUCACUUCCUCUGAAGGUAUUUGGGUUAGUCAGCUUUGGCAAGGUUCUGCCGUGGGAACAAGGACUCUCCAAAUCCUAGAGGCUUGUGACUAAGUACAAAGUUUUAUUUCUCUCUUAUUGCAUGUCUUCUGCAGUCAGUUGUGGCUACGUGCCCUGAGUCCUCCGGGUUCUGGGAUCCCGGCAGAAGGAGCAGCCCCUACCCGGGAUAGAGACUCCUGGUGGGGCAGGGCGAGUGUGGGCAAUGGCAGGAAAGAGAGUGGUCUUAAACCUUUGCUCAAGGCAGCAUAGGUCGCUUCCUCGAGAAUACGUGUGGCCAAAGCUGGUCACGUGCAGACCCUGGGUGCCAAUGAUGGGAAAAUAGAACCCUACCUACUCCAGGAAGGUUCAGGUGAGUGGGGAACGCAGGACACAGUCUUCAACCUCAUUUGAAGGUGUUCCUUUCUGACCAGAACACCUUCUGGAGAGAGGCAGGAGUGAGAACUGGAGGGUCCAGAGUGAAAACUCAAAGCUCAUGGCCGACAGCGGUUUCCACGGGCACAGACAAACAAAGAAAAAGUCCCAAGCAAGGCCUGCGUCCAGGAGCAGGGCUGUCACAUUGUCCUCCAAGAAGCAUGCAGCUGAACUGACAGAAGCUGACAGAUGAGGCGGGAAGGGUUAGACCCUUCUGCUCCUGUCUUCAUUUACAGCAAAGGACAGAACACUUUAUCACCUUGGAAACAACUCACAAAGGCAGAGUGUGCAAAGCUGUAGGAAACCCAGUGCACUCUCGGUGACCGGGGCUAAGUGGUGGGGUGGGGCAUCCCGCCACUGGGCUGCGUCCUGGGUAUUGUGUAGGGAGGCAGGUCGCUCCAGCAGGACGAGAGCCGCCUGGCCUUUGAUGGCCCCGCUGACUAUACAAUAUGUUCCUCCUUGUCCUUUGUAUUCACAGAACACAUCGCCCACCAAGGAGAGCGUGGCCACCGUGUCCGACCCUCCAACCUACACCGGGGACAGGCGUUCUCUGCCGCAAGCCCUUCUUUACUCUCUGCCGCCAGUGGUCGCACAGUGAGAGCUGCUGGAGUGAGCCGGAACAGCCUAGCCUGUUUUGCUCUCAUUCCCAAGGUCAUUUUGUGUCACUGCUUGCGGAUGUGUAGUUCCUGAUCCUCUUCUGCCUUUUUAUACUGAUUUGCAUACAAACCACAGGAGAAACUUCUUUGAGAAGCUGACUGGGCUUCUGCCAUGGGCUGGAGAUUCUAGAUUCACUAAAAGACUGGCCACGAUCAUGCUGCGCCAGCCUGAAGGCCGGAGGUGAUUUCUCAGGUCGUGUCCACACCCCACUGGCACUGCCCAAACGGUUGUUCGCCUUUAUGAUAGUGUGUUGAGCUCCUUAGAGGGCCCAGAGAUGAGUGAGCCAGGUGACCGCAGGCCGCUGAGGAUGGCCAGCCUGUCUCUCCUGUCCGUGCUGUACUCCCACACCUGAUGCCUUUCCUAAUGACUGUUCCUGAAUUUUAUUUACAUUUUACUGUAGAAAAUAUUUAAUUUUGUGCCAGAUUAAACUUUACUGAGCUCAAAACUUCA